UGGGGAAUAUUGCACAAUGGGCGCAAGCCUGAUGCAGCCAUGCCGCGUGUAUGAAGAAGGCCUUCGGGUUGUAAAGUACUUUCAGUGGGGAGGAAGGUGUUGAGGUUAAUAACCUCAGCAAUUGACGUUACCCGCAGAAGAAGCACCGGCUAACUCCGUGCCAGCAGCCGCGGUAAUACGGAGGGUGCAAGCGUUAAUCGGAAUUACUGGGCGUAAAGCGCACGCAGGCGGUCUGUCAAGUCGGAUGUGAAAUCCCCGGGCUCAACCUGGGAACUGCAUUCGAAACUGGCAGGCUAGAGUCUUGUAGAGGGGGGUAGAAUUCCAGGUGUAGCGGUGAAAUGCGUAGAGAUCUGGAGGAAUACCGGUGGCGAAGGCGGCCCCCUGGACAAAGACUGACGCUCAGGUGCGAAAGCGUGGGGAGCAAACA
rnacentral:rRNA from 1 species